rnacentral:rRNA from 1 species
CCCAGUGUGAUCCGUCACACUAUCAUUACGUGAAUACAUAGCGUAAUGAAGCGAACCGGGGGAACUGAAACAUCUAAGUACCCCGAGGAAAAGAAAUCAACCGAGAUUCCCCCAGUAGCGGCGAGCGAACGGGGAGCAGCCCAGAGUCUGAAUCAGCUUGUGUGUUAGUGGAACGGUCUGGAAAGUCCGACGGUACAGGGUGAUAGUCCCGUACACCAAAAUGCACAGGUUGUGAACUCGAAGAGUAGGGCGGGACACGUGGUAUCCUGUCUGAAUAUGGGGGGACCAUCCUCCAAGGCUAAAUACUCCUGACUGACCGAUAGUGAACCAGUACCGUGAGGGAAAGGCGAAAAGAACCCCGGCGAGGGGAGUGAAAAAGAACCUGAAACCGUGUACGUACAAGCAGUGGGAGCCUCUUUAUGGGGUGACUGCGUACCUUUUGUAUAAUGGGUCAGCGACUUAUAUUCUGUAGCAAGGUUAACCGUAUAGGGGAGCCGAAGGGAAACCGAGUCUUAACUGGGCGUUAAGUUGCAGGGUAUAGACCCGAAACCCGGUGAUCUAGCCAUGGGCAGGUUGAAGGUUGGGUAACACUAACUGGAGGACCGAACCGACUAAUGUUGAAAAAUUAGCGGAUGACUUGUGGCUGGGGGUGAAAGGCCAAUCAAACCGGGAGAUAGCUGGUUCUCCCCGAAAGCU